AGAGCUAGAGGUGGAUUUCUUGGAAAUGGAAGGCGAAGAAGGACGUGCUAAUCUGCGAUAAGCCCGGAGGAGUUGAUAAGAAACUUUGAUCCCGGGAUCUCCGAAUGUAGAAAUAUGAUCAACCGCAUGGAUGAUCAUUUUGAGGCCAAUUCAUAACCUCAAAAGGCGAACCUUGUGAAGUGAAACAUCUCAGUAACAAGAGGAAAAGAAAACAAAGUGAUUCCCUAAGUAGUGGUGAGCGAAAGGGGAAAAGGACAAACCAACCUUCGGGUUGGGGUUGUAGGACGUCAACGUGGAAUCUAUUGAUAUAGAAGAAGUUUUUGGAACAAGACGGCAUAGAGGGCGAACCCCCCGUAUUCGAAAUAUCAAUAGUACCUAGACGGAUCCUGAGUAGGGCGGGACACGUGUAAUCCUGUCUGAAUCUGCCCAGACCAUUGGGUAAUCCUAAAUACUAACCAUUUACCGAUAGUGAACAAGUACUGUGAAGGAAAGAUGAAAAGAACCCAGAGAUGGGAGUGAAAUAGAAACAUGAAACCUGUAGCUUACAAAGAGCCAAAGCACUAUGCCGUGCAAACGGAAGGUGUAAUGGCGUGCGUUUUGAAGUAUGAGCCGGCGAGUUAUUGUUGCAUGCAAGGUUAAGUCAUCAAAGGCCAAGCCUAAGCGAAAGCGAGUACGAAUGGUGCGUUUAGUAUGUGGCAAUAGACCCGAAACAGAGUGAGCUAUCCAUGGGCAGGUUGAAGGCGGGGUAAAACCCUCUGGAGGACCGAACCGACUGCCGUUGAAACGUUAGCGGAUGACCUGUGGAUAGGGGUGAAAUUCCAAUCGAACUCUGUGAUAGCUGGUUCUCGCCGAUAUAGUUUUAGGACUAGCGUUGGAUUAUGAAAGGGCGGAGGUAAAGCACUGAAUUCAUGAUGGCGUACCCUGUAUGUACUGAAUGAAAUUAAACUCUGAAUGCCGUCAAUUCUACUCCAGCAGUGAGACUACGGGGGAUAAGCUUCGUGGUCGUGAGGGAAAGAGCCCAGAUCAACAAAUAAGGUCCCUAAAUUUGGCUAAGUGGAAAAGGAAGUAUUGAUUCGCAGACAACUAGUAUGUUGGCUUAGAAGCAGCCAUCAUUUAAAGAGUGCGUAACAGCUCACUAGUCUAGUUUUUUUGCACCGACAGUACAACGGGGCUAAGCCAAAUACCGAAUUUUUGAUUUCCAUCAAGACGUCGUCUUAAUGGAAAGGUAGGCGAGUGUUAUAUAGGCAAAGAAGCUUGAGUGUGAACACAAGUGGAGCCUACAUAAGUAAGAAUGCCGGCGUGAGUAACGUAUGAAAGUGAAAAUCUUUCUAGCCGAUUGACUAAGGUUUCCAGGGCAAGGGUCGUCCUCCCUGGGUUAGUCGGUCCUAAGACCAGGCCGAAAGGCGUAAUCGAUGGACAGCAGGUUAAUAUUCCUGCACUAAUUUAGUUGGCGAAGGGUUGACGGAAGAGGUUAAUGCAGGCGGGUUAAUGGAUUCCCGUUCAAGUUUCGAGUAGGGAGAACAGGCAAAUCCGUUCUCCAUAAACUAUGAGGAGCGAGUACCAGCGAAAGGAGAAAUCCAACUAGUGAAGCUGCAUACAUCACAUUCCCACGAAAAGACUCUAGCAUCCAACAACUAAGUAACCGUACCGAGAACGAACACACGUGGUCAAGGAGAAUAUCCUAAGGCUAUCGAGAUAACUACAGUUAAGGAACUCUGCAAAUUAGCCCCGUAACUUAGGGAGAAGGGGUGCCUAUGAAAAUAGGUCACAGUAAAGAAUGAGGGGGGACUGUUUAACAAAAACACAGCUAUAUGCAAAAGCGAAAGCUAAAGUAUAUGUGGCGACACCUGCCCAGUGCCAGAAGGUCAAAGAAGGCCGUUAGCAAUAGCGAAGCGUCUGACUUAAGCCCUGGUGAACGGCGGCCGUAACUAUAACGGUCCUAAGGUAGCGAAAUUCCUUGUCAGGUAAAUUCUGUCCCGCUUGAAUGGUGUAACCAUCUCUUAACUGUCUCGACUGUAGACUCGGUGAAAUCCUGGUGAGAGUGAAGACACUCUCUCGCCGCUGGGGGACAAAAAGACCCUAUGAAGCUUUACUGUAGCUUGAUAUUGUAAAAAAUCAAUGAAUUUAGAGAAUAAGUGGGAGGCUAAGAGGACUGGGCGCCAGUUCAGUCGGAGCCGACAGUGGAAUACCACUAUUUCUUUGGUUUUUUUCUCACAUUCAUUCCCUUAUCGGGAGAAUGGACAGUGUUAGGUAGGCAGUUUGACUGGGGCGGUCGCCUCCUAAAAGGUAACGGAGGCGUGCAAUGGUGUCUUUAGCAUGGUUGGAAAUCAUGUAGAAAGCAUAAUAGUAUAAGGACGCUUGACUGUGAGAUAUACAAAUCGAACAGGUAGGAAACUAGGCUAUAGUGAUCCGGUGGUUCCGAAUGGAAGGGCCAUCGCUCAACGGAUAAAAGCUACUCUAGGGAUAACAGGCUAAUAAUGUCCAAGAGUUCAUAUCGACGACAUUGUUUGGCACCUCGAUGUCGACUCAUCUUAUCCUGGGGCUGAAGCAGGUCCCAAGGGUUCGGCUGUUCGCCGAUUAAAAAGAUACGUGAGUUGGGUUCAAACCGUCGUGAGACAGGUUGGUCUCUAUCUCCAGUGGCCGUUGGAAAAUUGAAGGGAUUCGUUCCUAGUACGAGAGGAUCGGAAUGAACAUACCUCUAGUGUUGGAGUUGUCGCGCCAGCGGCAUGGCUCCUUAGCUAUGUAUGGAAUAGAUAAACGCUGAAAGCAUCUAAGUGUGAAACUAACCCUAAGAUUAAUUUUCCCAGCCCGCAAGGGCAUAAGAAUCCUAAAAGACGAUUAGGUUGAUAGGGCAUCUGUGUAAGCUUUGUAAGAAGUUAAGCUAAAUGCUACUAAUAAUUCGAAUGAGUUCAAC
rnacentral:rRNA from 1 species